AAAAUAAUGUACAAUAAUCAUAAAACAUCAGCAAUUAUAGUUCACUGUAAUAUAAAUGUCAAUGCAAUAUAAGUAUAGGUAAUCACACAGGAAGGAGUGCAAUUAAUUAUAACACUACGAGUAAUAUUUGAGGGCCCUGAAGGGGUAAAAUGGGAACUGGAAUUGAUCUAAUUUUAGACUGGGAAAAUGGGAUUUGGGUUGCUGGGACUGGGAUUUGGCCACUGGGAAUGGGAAAUGAAGUCCUCAAAAAUGGGAAUGGGAUUGAGGUAAUGCGAGUCGAUUCCCAACUUUUCUACAUUUUAAGUGUUUUAAAAUACAAUUUUGAUCCGUUUUCGGUGUCUUUGGUCAUGAUUUUUGUUGUUAAUUUGUGAUUUUUGUAUAUUAUUCACAGCACUACCUGCGAACAGGCACACUCUGGCGCCCGGAAUUCCGGGUUUUCUGAUUAUGCGUGUCUUAGAAUGCUGCAAAUGCCAUUUCCGGGAUUCAAAUUUAAAAAAUUUCUGUGCCUUCGCCACCAACCUCCCCCCCCCAUAUUUCAUCAUUUCAUAAUUUCAUUGCACACACGGUGGCUUAAAAGGUCUCAAAACUGUUUAUUCUAUACCGAUAAAUAAAAGGUUUUUUAUUGACUGGGAGUUCAAUAACUCGGACUGGGAUUUCUAAUAAAAAUCCAACUGGAACUGGGAUUUUGCCAAAAUUUCAGGUGGGAAAUGGGAUUGGGACCCCCCCCCCCCUUCAGUACCCUCAUAUUUGAAAAAUGUGCCAAAAUUGCACAAGCUGUUAAUUAAUUGCACGACUUGCCCGAGUGAUUAUUUAUUUUAUGCAUAGCAUGAUGAAAUUCAAUAAAAUUCAACUUAUUUUGUCAAGAAUUUUUAAUUCUUUUGUAAGCAAUUUGGCAUAAACAAACUUGGAAAAUGAUCAUAAAC